AUUAUGUAACUUGUUGUGCAAGGAUGUGUGCUAGUAACAUCCAAAUUAAGACAGAUCUCAAUAUACACUUCCUUUACUGUUCAAAGGCAAUUAGCAAUCUUGGUAUGCUUGAGACCCAUUCAGUGUCAGCAAAGCUCUCAUGUGUACCACAACUGGCAUGUGUGCCAUGGGUACACAGGACAUCGCAGCAGGGGUAUAACACCACUCACAAAUGGGGGAGGAAGGGCACACUCAGCAGCAGCUCCCCUGUAGCCUGGAAUAGCAAACCCAGUCCCCUCUGCUGCCAGAUCAAGCUUUAUCCCCUCUGAGCGGUGCAGAAGAGACACACCGGGCUAGAUGAGCUCGGUCUUUGCACUGACUCA